GACGAACGCUGGCGGCGUGCUUAACACAUGCAAGUCGAACGCUGAAGGCUCAGCUUGCUGGGCUGGAUGAGUGGCGAACGGGUGAGUAACACGUGAGUAACCUGCCCUCUUCUUUGGGAUAACGGUCGGAAACGGCUGCUAAUACCGGGUAUUCACUGUCCUUCGCAUGGGGGGUGGUGGAAAGGUUUUUUCUGGUGGGGGAUGGGCUCGCGGCCUAUCAGCUUGUUGGUGGGGUGAUGGCUUACCAAGGCUUUGACGGGUAACCGGCCUGAGAGGGUGACCGGUCACAUUGGGACUGAGAUACGGCCCAGACUCCUACGGGAGGCAGCAGUGGGGAAUAUUGCACAAUGGGCGAAAGCCUGAUGCAGCGACGCCGCGUGAGGGAUGAAGGCCUUCGUGUUGUAAUCCUCUUUCGCUCAUGGUCAACCCGCAACUUUUUGUUGUGGUGAGGUUAGUGGUUAAAGUGUCAUCUGGUAAUACGUGUUGGUUCCGCGGUGAUUGGUUUGUUGCUUUUUUUUUCUGAUUUUUUGGGGUUAGUGGUUGUAAUUUUUUAUUUUAUCUGCUUGCCUUCUCUGUCUUGCUGUGGGUGAGUCUCUGUGUUUUGCUGUGUUUGUGCGAUUUUAGAUUGAGGUGUGUUGUUUUUGUAUGUGAAUUUACUUGUGUGAAGUUGACCUGCGUUGUGUUUUGGUGGGUUGUGGUUGUGUGUGUGAGUGGUGAGUAGCUGUCGCCUCUUGUGUGUUGUUUGGUGUGAUUUUGUUUGUGUUGUUUAUUUUGUUUGUGUUGUUGGUGCGGGGUUUGUGUUGUUUUGGUAAGAUGGUACGAAAGGGUGGGUGUUUGGUCUGUAGUUGUUCCUUGUAAAAUUGAUUCCCCCCCAGUUUGAUAUGUGU
rnacentral:rRNA from 1 species